GACGGACGCUGGCGGCGUGCUUAACACAUGCAAGUCGAACGGAAAGGCUCCAGCUUGCUGGCGUACUCGAGUGGCGAACGGGUGAGUAACACGUGGGUAAUCUGCCCUGCACUCUGGGAUAAGCCUGGGAAACUGGGUCUAAUACUGGAUAUGACCUUUCUCCUUAUGGGGUUUGGUGGAAAGUUUUUCGGUGUAGGAUGAGCCCGCGGCCUAUCAGCUUGUUGGUGGGGUGAUGGCUUACCAAGGCGACGACGGGUAGCCGGCCUGAGAGGGUGAUCGGCCACAUUGGGACUGAGAUACGGCCCAGACUCCUACGGGAGGCAGCAGUGGGGAAUAUUGCACAAUGGGCGGAAGCCUGAUGCAGCGACGCCGCGUGAGGGAUGACGGCCUUCGGGUUGUAAACCUCUUUCAGCAGGGACGAAGCGUAAGUGACGGUACCUGCAGAAGAAGCACCGGCUAACUAGGUG
rnacentral:rRNA from 1 species